GUUUCCGUAGUGUAGGGGUUAUCACGUUCGCCUCACACGCGAAAGGUCCCCGGUUCGAAGCCGGGCGGGAACA
rnacentral:tRNA from 1 species